UACGGAGGAUGCGAGCGUUAUCCGGAUUUAUUGGGUUUAAAGGGUGCGUAGGCGGGCUUUUAAGUCAGCGGUAAUAAUUCGGGGCUCAACCCCGUCCGGCCGUUGAAACUGGGGGUCUUGAGUGGGCGAGAAGAAGGCGGAAUGCGUGGUGUAGCGGUGAAAUGCAUAGAUAUCACGCAGAACCCCGAUUGCGAAGGCAGCCUUCCGGCGCCCUACUGACGCUGAGGCACGAAAGUGCGGGGAUCGAACAGG
rnacentral:rRNA from 1 species